ACAUGCAAGUCGAGCGGUAGCACAAGAGAGCUUGCUCUCUGGGUGACGAGCGGCGGACGGGUGAGUAAUGUCUGGGAAACUGCCUGAUGGCGGGGGAUAACUAGUGGAAACGGUAGCUAAUACCGCAUAACGUCGCAAGACCAAAGUGGGGGACCUUCGGGCCUCACGCCAUCAGAUGUGCCCAGGUGGGAUUAGCUGGUAGGUGGGGUAACGGCUCACCUAGGCGACGAUCCCUAGCUGGUCUGAGAGGAUGACCAGCCACACUGGAACUGAGACACGGUCCAGACUCCUACGGGAGGCAGCAG
rnacentral:rRNA from 1 species